rnacentral:rRNA from 1 species
CCCUUAGAUGUUCUGGGCCGCACGCGCGCUACACUGAUGCAUUCAACGAGUUUCUUCCUGGUCCGAGAGGAAUGGGUAACCUUUUGAAAGUGCAUCGUGAUAGGGAUAGACUAUUGCAAUUAUUGGUCUUCAACGAGGAAUUCCUAGUAGACGUAGUUCAUCAGACUGCAUCGAUUACGUCCCUGCCCUUUGUACACACCGCCCGUCGCUCCUACCGAUUGAAGUUUUCGGUGAGUAGACAGGAGGAUUUUUUUGAAACUGGUUCGCCAGUGGAUUUUAGAUCCAAAUGCCAACGAAUCGAUGGCUUUAGAGGAAGGAGAAGUCGUAACA